GAUGAACGCUGGCGGCGUGCCUAAUACAUGCAAGUCGAGCGAACAGACGAGGAGCUUGCUCCUCUGACGUUAGCGGCGGACGGGUGAGUAACACGUGGAUAACCUACCUAUAAGACUGGGAUAACUUCGGGAAACCGGAGCUAAUACCGGAUAAUAUAUUGAACCGCAUGGUUCAAUAGUGAAAGACGGUUUUGCUGUCACUUAUAGAUGGAUCCGCGCCGCAUUAGCUAGUUGGUAAGGUAACGGCUUACCAAGGCGACGAUGCGUAGCCGACCUGAGAGGGUGAUCGCCCCCACUGGAACUGAGACACGGUCCAGACUCCUACGGGAGGCAGCAGUAGGGAAUCUUCCGCAAUGGGCGAAAGCCUGACGGAGCAACGCCGCGUGAGUGAUGAAGGUCUUCGGAUCGUAAAACUCUGUUAUUAGGGAAGAACAAAUGUGUAAGUAACUAUGCACGUCUUGACGGUACCUAAUCAGAAAGCCACGGCUAACUACGUG
rnacentral:rRNA from 1 species